AUUGAACGCUGGCGGCAGGCCUAACACAUGCAAGUCGAGCGGGGUUUUCGGACCUAGCGGCGGACGGGUGAGUAAUGCGUAGGAAGCUACCCGAUAGAGGGGGAUACCAGUUGGAAACGACUGUUAAUACCGCAUAAUGUCUACGGACCAAAGUGUGGGACCUUCGGGCCACAUGCUAUCGGAUGCGCCUACGUGGGAUUAGCUAGUUGGUGGGGUAAUGGCUCACCAAGGCGACGAUCCCUAGCUGGUUUGAGAGGAUGAUCAGCCACACUGGAACGGAGACACGGUCCAGACUCCUACGGGAGGCAGCAGUGGGGAAUAUUGGACAAUGGGCGCAAGCCUGAUCCAGCCAUGCCGCGUGUGUGAAGAAGGCCUUCGGGUUGUAAAGCACUUUCAGUAGGGAGGAAGGGUGUUGUGUUAAUAGCACAGCAUUUUGACGUUACCUACAGAAGAAGCACCGGCUAACUCUGUGCCAGCCGCCGCAGUAAAAC
rnacentral:rRNA from 1 species